GGUAGAAAGCUCCAUAAAUCUUCUUCUUCAAAAAAAAUCGUCAUAUAACAUAAAUUUAAAUGUUUAAAAUACCUUUGUGGGAAAAAAAAGAUAGGCAUUGUAGCAAUAAGUAAAUGUGUUGAUCCAACAAUAGUUCAUUCCACUACACAUGAGACAUCAUCUCAACAUCAUUUUUCCCAUUAUGCGAUUCUCUGAAAUGAAUUGAUCAUAUUGAUGGUCCCCAAUCUUUAGGGCGAAAAAUCAUUGCAACCUAAAACAUAAUUAUGAACGAGUUAGCCUCACCAUACUGAAAUGACAAAAGUUCAAAUAUAUAAACGACUUGAGAGAGUGAUAAAAAAUCUCGAUUGUCAUGCACAUGUAAUUGCAUAAGCCAUGCAUUUUUGUAGUUAAAUUUAGAGAGAUAUUCUCAAAAAAUAUUUAGCUAGAUAGCUAAUUUCAUUACUCAAUCAAUAUUAGUUGCAAGAACAAUUUCAAAUAUCUGCGCAUUUGGUGAGGGAACCUCUACUUUUCAUAACUAAAACCUAAAAUGUCUUACAAAAAAAUAAAAAAAAUAAAAAAGGCUAUGAAGGUAGUUAUCCUCAAAAAUGGGGCACAUUAUCGAAAAGCAUAUCAACCUGUCAAAGGUAGGCCUCAAAGUGGGAAUGAAGCAUAUGAUGGCACCUCCU
rnacentral:lncRNA from 1 species